GAUGAACGCUAGCGGCAGGCCUAACACAUGCAAGUCGAGGGGCAUCAUGGCGUAGCAAUACGCUGAUGGCGACCGGCGCACGGGUGCGUAACGCGUAUGGAACCUACCCACCGCAGGGGGAUAACCCGCCGAAAGGCGGACUAAUACCCCAUGGUUCCCCGACCCUGCCUGGGGUUGGGGGUAAAGCCUACGGGCGGCGGUGGAUGGCCCUGCGUGCCAUUAGCUGGCUGGUGGGGUAACGGCCCACCAGGGCGACGAUGGCUAGGGGGUCUGAGAGGACGAUCCCCCACACUGGUACUGAGACACGGACCAGACUCCUACGGGAGGCAGCAGUGAGGAAUCUUCCGCAAUGGGCGAAAGCCUGACGGAGCAACGCCGCGUGAGUGAAGAAGGCCUUCGGGUCGUAAAGCUCUGUCUUCAGGAAGAACAACAUAUAUGUGAAUAAUGUAUAUGCCUGACGGUACCUGAGGAGGAAGCUCCGGCUAACUACGUGCCAGCAGCCGAC
rnacentral:rRNA from 1 species